rnacentral:rRNA from 1 species
UACGUAGGGCGCAAGCGUUAUCCGGAAUUAUUGGGCGUAAAGAGCUCGUAGGCGGUUUGUCGCGUCUGCCGUGAAAGUCCGGGGCUCAACCCCGGAUCUGCCGUGCGGACUGGUUUGCUGGAGCACUGUAGAGGCGAGUGGAAUUCCUGGUGUAGCGGUGAAAUGCGCAGAUAUCAGGAGGAACACCGGUGGCGAAGGCGGGUCUCUGGGCCGAUACUGACGCUGAGGAGCGAAAGCGUGGGGAGCGAACAGG